rnacentral:lncRNA from 1 species
ACGGACACCAAUUGUUGGAAGCGUGAUUUGCUCUGAUACCACUUGUUGGAACCGAUAUUUGUGCUGAUACCGAUUAUAUAACCCAAUAUUUAAAAUAGAACAAAAUAGUAUGGAGAAGAGAGAUUAGAGAAGGAAGAAAUAACUAAACAAAUACGCAAUUAAUUACAUUCUGGGUAACACCUAUGCAGCUGUGUCUACCAUGGCUUAUUCUUCUAAUUAACCCAUGCCUAACUAUAUAUAGCCAUCAAAUCAUAACAGAUGAUAAAUCCAAUUUUACUUUGGAUAACUACACAUCUUAACUAUAAUCAAAUAAAGAUUUAAACUUAUCUCUAAUUAUAUUUUAAUUAAGUUUGGAUUAUUAUUUCCAACAUCCUCCCUUAAUCCAAACUUCAU